GACGAACGCUGGCGGCGUGCCUAAUACAUGCAAGUUGAGCGCUGAAGGUUGGUACUUGUACCAACUGGAUGAGCAGCGAACGGGUGAGUAACGCGUGGGGAAUCUGCCUUUGAGCGGGGGACAACAUUUGGAAACGAAUGCUAAUACCGCAUAAAAACUUUAAACACAAGUUUUAAGUUUGAAAGAUGCAAUUGCAUCACUCAAAGAUGAUCCCGCGUUGUAUUAGCUAGUUGGUGAGGUAAAGGCUCACCAAGGCGAUGAUACAUAGCCGACCUGAGAGGGUGAUCGGCCACAUUGGGACUGAGACACGGCCCAAACUCCUACGGGAGGCAGCAGUAGGGAAUCUUCGGCAAUGGACGGAAGUCUGACCGAGCAACGCCGCGUGAGUGAAGAAGGGUUUCGGAUCGUAAAACUCUGUUGGUAGAGAAGAACGUGGGUGAGAGUGGAAAGCUCAUCAAGUGACGGUAACUACCCAGAAAGGGACGGCUAACUACGUG
rnacentral:rRNA from 1 species